rnacentral:tRNA from 1 species
AAUUGAUUAGUCUAAUAAGACAUUUGUUUUGAAAACAAAAAAUGAUUAAUAAUUUUAUCAUCAAUUU